rnacentral:lncRNA from 1 species
UUUUUUUAUAAUUUUAAAAUACCAGAUUUCAUCUGAAUGUUGUAAAUGGUUUGCUUCUCCUAACAAUAACAAAAAGUAGACUUUAUGUACGUAUGUGCCUGUCCAAAGUCAGGUGCCUGUAAUUCAGUUGUUGUCGUUUGUUAAUGUGUUACCUUUUUGUUUUUCUUUCCUUUUUGUACAUAAAUAAGACUGUUAGUUUUUCUCGUUUGAAUUGUUUUACAUUGCUAUUUCGGGGCCUUUUAUAGCUGACUAUGCGGUAUGGGCUUUGCCCUUUUUUGAAGGCCGUACGAUAACCUAUAGUUGUUAAUUUGUGUGACAGUUUAGUCUUUUUUGGAGAGUUGUCUCAUUUGCAAUCAUGCCACAUCUAUUUGUUUAUAUUUGAUAUCGUUUCGAUGGAAUGUAGGUGCAAUAUUUAUAAAUGUACCAUUUUUCUGGUGAAUAAAGUGUUAUUUUCUCUAUAUUGAUCUUGGUAUUAACUGUAUGUUGCCAAGAUAUGGCUAUAACACAUACAGUGGAUUCAUUUAUUAUCGUAGGUACACGUUUUUCUGGAUAAAGAAAACUUGAAUGUUCGUGGAUAUUAAAUGUCG